rnacentral:rRNA from 1 species
CGCGUAGGCGGCUUGGUCAGUCGGAUGUGAAAGCCCCGGGCUUAACCUGGGAACUGCAUUCGAUACUGCCAAACUAGAGUAUGGGAGAGGGAAGUGGAAUUUCCGGUGUAGCGGUGAAAUGCGUAGAUAUCGGAAAGAACACCAGUGGCGAAGGCGACUUCCUGGCCCAAUACUGACGCUGAGGUGCGAAAGCGUGGGGAGCAAACA